AGAUGGCGACCGGCGCACGGGUGAGUAACACGUAUCCAACCUGCCGAUAACUCGGGGAUAGCCUUUCGAAAGAAAGAUUAAUACCCGAUGGUAUAAUCAGACCGCAUGGUUUGAUUAUUAAAGAAUUUCGGUUAUCGAUGGGGAUGCGUUCCAUUAGGCAGUUGGUGAGGUAACGGCUCACCAAACCUUCGAUGGAUAGGGGUUCUGAGAGGAAGGUCCCCCACAUUGGAACUGAGACGCGGUCCAA
rnacentral:rRNA from 1 species